rnacentral:rRNA from 1 species
UACGUAGGGUGCAAGCGUUAAUCGGAAUUACUGGGCGUAAAGGGCGCGUAGGCGGCCUGCUAAGUCGGACGUGAAAUCCCUCGGCUCAACCGGGGAACUGCGUCCGAUACUGGUCGAGGCUCGAAUCCGGGAGAGGGAUGUGGAAUUCCGAGGUGUAGCGGUGAAAUGCGUAGAUAUCUGGGAGGAACACCAGUGGCGAAGGCGGCAUCCUGGACCGGUAUUGACGCUGAGGCGCGAAAGCUAGGGUAGCAAACGGGG